AGGUGGUUCCUAAGGUGUUGGUAUGGCGUCAGUGGUGGUUGGUAAGGUGUUGCUAGGUGGUUCCUAAGAUGUUCUUACGGUAUCCGUGGUGGUUGCUACGGCGUUGUUAGGUAGUUCCUACUGUGUUGGUAUGGUGUCUGUGGUGAUGGCCAAGGUGUUGCUAGGUGGUUCCUAAGGUGUAGGUAUGGUGUCUGUGGUGAUGGCCAAGGUGUUGCUAGGUGGUUCCUAAGGUGUAGUUAUGGUGUCUGUGGUGGUUCCUAAGGUGUUGGUAUGGUGUCUGUGGUGGUUACUAAAGUGUUGCUAGGUGGUUCCUAAGCUAAUGGUUUGGUGUCUGUGGUGGUUGCUAAGGUAUUGGUAUGGUGUCUGUGGUGGUUGCUAAGGUGUUGGUAUGGUGUCUGUGGUGGUUGCUGAAGUGUUGCUAGGUGGUUCCUAAAGUGUUGGUUUGGUGUCUGUGGUGGUUGCUAAGGUGUUGGUAUGGUGUCUGUGGUGGUUGCUGAAGUGUUGCUAGGUGGUUCCUAAAGUGUUGGUUUGGUGUCUGUGGUGGUUGCUAAGGUGUUGGUAUGGUAUCCGUGGUGGAGCUAUGGUGUUGCUAAGUGGUUGCUAGGUGGGAAAGGGGUUCUGUGCGUGGAUUCAGCUGGGUUGAGGGAUCUAAUGCAUUCCAAUGGGGAAAAUUAGUAUAUAUAAAAUAUAGCAUAUUUUCUGA